rnacentral:rRNA from 1 species
AUUGAACGCUGGCGGCAGGCCUAACACAUGCAAGUCGAGCGGAUGAAGGGAGCUUGCUCCUGGAUUCAGCGGCGGACGGGUGAGUAAUGCCUAGGAAUCUGCCUGGUAGUGGGGGAUAACGUCCGGAAACGGGCGCUAAUACCGCAUACGUCCUGAGGGAGAAAGUGGGGGAUCUUCGGACCUCACGCUAUCAGAUGAGCCUAGGUCGGAUUAGCUAGUUGGUGGGGUAAAGGCCCACCAAGGCGACGAUCCGUAACUGGUCUGAGAGGAUGAGCAGUCACACUGGAACUGAGACACGGUCCAGACUCCUACGGGAGGCAGCAGUGGGGAAUAUUGGACAAUGGGCGAAAGCCUGAUCCAGCCAUGCCGCGUGUGUGAAGAAGGUCUUCGGAUUGUAAAGCCCUUUAAGUUGGGAAGAAGAGCAGUAAGUUAAUACCUUGCUGUUUUGACGUUACCAACAGAAUAAGCACCGGCUAACUUCGUG